rnacentral:rRNA from 1 species
GACGAACGCUGGCGGCGUGCUUAACACAUGCAAGUCGAACGGUGAAGGGGCCUGCUUUUGUGGGUCCUGGAUGAGUGGCGAACGGGUGAGUAACACGUGAGUAACCUGCCCCCUUCUUCUGGAUAACCGCAUGAAAGUGUGGCUAAUACGGGAUAUUCUGGGUCUGUCGCAUGACGGGCCCGGGAAAGAUAUUGCUUCGGUGGGGGAUGGGCUCGCGGCCUAUCAGCUUGUUGGUGGGGUGAUGGCCUACCAAGGCGGUGACGGGUAGCCGGCCUGAGAGGGUGGACGGUCACACUGGGACUGAGACACGGCCCAGACUCCUACGGGAGGCAGCAGUGGGGAAUAUUGCACAAUGGGCGCAAGCCUGAUGCAGCGACGCCGCGUGAGGGAUGGAGGCCUUCGGGUUGUGAACCUCUUUCGCCAGUGAAGCAGGCCUGCUCCUUUGUGGGUGGGUUGACGGUAGCUGGAUAAGAAGCGCCGGCUAACUACGUGCCAGCAGCCGCGGUAAUACGUAGGGCGCGAGCGUUGUCCGGAAUUAUUGGGCGUAAAGAGCUCGUANGCGGCUGGUCGCGUCUGUCGUGAAAUCCUCUGGCUUAACUGGGGGCUUGCGGUGGGUACGGGCCGGCUUGAGUGCGGUAGGGGAGACUGGAACUCCUGGUGUAGCGGCGGAAUGCGCAGAUAUCAGGAAGAACACCGGUGGCGAAGGCGGGUCUCUGGGCCGUUACUGACGCUGAGGAGCGAAAGCGUGGGGAGCGAACAGGAUUAGAUACCCUGGUAGUCCACGCCGUAAACGUUGGGCACUAGGUGUGGGGGGCCUUUUCCGGGUCUUCCGCGCCGUAGCUAACGCAUUAAGUGCCCCGCCUGGGGAGUACGGCCGCAAGGCUAAAACUCAAAGGAAUUGACGGGGGCCCGCACAAGCGGCGGAGCAUGCGGAUUAAUUCGAUGCAACGCGAAGAACCUUACCAAGGCUUGACAUGUGCCGGUCGGCUCCGGAGACGGGGUUUCCUCCUUGUGGGGCCGGUUCACAGGUGGUGCAUGGUUGUCGUCAGCUCGUGUCGUGAGAUGUUGGGUUAAGUCCCGCAACGAGCGCAACCCUUGUCCCGUGUUGCCAGCACGUUGUGGUGGGGACUCGCGGGAGACUGCCGGGGUCAACUCGGAGGAAGGUGGGGAUGACGUCAAAUCAUCAUGCCCCUUAUGUCUUGGGCUUCACGCAUGCUACAAUGGCCGGUACAGAGGGCUGCGAUACCGUGAGGUGGAGCGAAUCCCUUAAAGCCGGUCUCAGUUCGGAUCGGUGUCUGCAACUCGACACCGUGAAGUUGGAGUCGCUAGUAAUCGCAGAUCAGCAACGCUGCGGUGAAUACGUUCUCGGGCCU